rnacentral:rRNA from 1 species
UACGUAGGUGGCAAGCGUUGUCCGGAUUUACUGGGCGUAAAGAGCGCGCAGGCGGUCGAUCAUGUCGCGUGUGAAAGACCCCGGCUCAACUGGGGAGGGUCGUGCGAUACGGUCGAACUGGAGGCCAGUAGGGGGAUGCGGAAUUCCGGGUGUAGUGGUGGAAUGCGUAGAGAUCCGGAGGAACACCAGCGGCGAAGGCGGCGUCCUGGACUGGUCCUGACACUCAGGAGCGAAAGCGUGGGGAGCGAUCCGG